CACGCGGGGGACAGACGGAGCUGGGAGCCCACGGGCAGUGCUUGCGCCUUGCCAAGGAGGCUCCCGGCCAGGCGGGGCGGGCAGGGCAGGGCAGGGAGGCGGCGGAGCGCCGCGCGGGCGGGGGGGUUUGCAAAGAGGAGCAGUGGCCCGUGUGCGCCUCUUGUUCCCGGUGUAAUUUGCAGCCAAUCAUCAGGAGGUGUCCGCAUCCCCGCAUCCUCCUCACCUCGCGCCUAGCAGCCCUCCCCUCCCCUCCCCUCCCCCCGCACCGCGCGCACACACGCGCACACACACACAAACAGAGACUCCCCGGCUCCCUCCCUCCCUCCCUCGCACACAGCGACUGGAGACGGACUGAGAGCAAGGCGCAGCGAGAGGAGCCCACAGAGCACACACCGCCGGGCGCUCGCACACGCACACACACACACACACACACUCACUCACUCACUCACUCACUCAGUGCCUGCUCUUUCCUCCCCCCCACCUCCCCCUGCCUCCUCCACCUCCUUCUCCCUCUCUCUCUCUCUCUGCAACAAGAAAAAAAAAAGCCACUUACAGGGAGGGAUGUGCAACUAAUUAAAGGCAGGCAGGCUGGGAGCGUCUGCAAUUUCCAGCCCCCCAAAUAAAGAGCCUGCUGCCUCCGGCCGCCCGCGCCUGAGGAGGAUGCAGCAGCCGCGGCUGCCCGGCCCUUCCCCGGCUGCACACACGUCGUCACCCACGGAGGAUUAACCCCCUCCCACCCCCUCCCCUCCCCAAACCACCCCCCUCGCCCUGCCCUGCCCUGCCCUGCCCUGCCCCUUCCCCCCUCCUCGCCGCCCGGGGCACCAUGAACACCAACGUGUGCGUGGAGAGCGGGCCGAGCCCGGAGGCGCCGGGGCUGCCCAAGGAGAGCCACCUGCCCGACGGCGCGCUGGGCGGCCUGGUGGAUUACAACUCGGAGAUGGAGCGCUACCGCUCCUUCGCCACCUCCUUCUACAAGAGCGGCGGCGGCGCCUUCCCGCAGGCGGCCAAGAUCGCCCGCAUCACCACGCCCAUCUUCCCCAGCGCCGCCGCCGCCGCCGCCGCCCGCAUCGGCAUGUCCCCCUGGAACUGCGACUCGGCCACGGCCGCCGCCGCCACCGCCAUGCUGUGGGGCAGCAGCUGCAGCAGCGGCGGCGGCGGCGGCAGCGGCGGCGGCAGCAACGCGGGAGGCGCCGCCCGCAAAGCCUCGUCGUCCUCGGGCUCCCCGCCGUCCGGCGCGGCGGCGGCGGCGCUGCAGGCGGGCCGGGGCAUGGCCCCGCGCGGGGAGGCGCCGCGCCUGGGCAAGCCGAGCUGCAGCGAGCAGGAGCAGGCGCCCGGCGCGCUGCAGAUGGCCAACAACAACUUCCUGUCCCCGCUGGCCCCCGAGCACUGCCGGCCGCUGGCCGGGGACUGCAUGAACAAGCUCAAGUGCGGCGCGGCCGAGGCGGACAUCAUGAACCUGCCCGAGCGCGUGGGCACCUUCUCGGCCAUCCCGGCCCUAGGGGGCUUGUCGCUACCUCCCGGGGUCAUCGUCAUGACGGCCCUGCACUCCCCCGCCGCCGCCUCCGCCGCCGUCACAGACAGCGCCUUCCAGAUCGCCAACCUGGCGGACUGCCCGCAGAGCCACGCCGCCGCCGCCGCCGCCUCCUCCGCCUCCUCCGCCGCCUCCUCGCUGGGCGGCGGCGGCGGCGCGGCGGGGGGCGGCGGCGCGGGGGGCGGCGGCGGCGGCGGGGCGGGCAACCCGGCCAAGAAGAAGAGGAAACGGUGCGGGGUGUGCGUGCCCUGCAAGAGGCUCAUCAACUGCGGCGUGUGCAGCAGUUGCAGGAACCGCAAAACGGGACACCAGAUCUGCAAGUUUAGGAAAUGCGAGGAGCUCAAGAAAAAACCGGGCACUUCGCUAGAGGUCAGAGGAGAUGAUUUCUUUUUCCCCACCAGCAGCAGCAGCAGCAGCAGCCUCCCCCCGUCGGGCCUCAACCCCCUGCCCCCGCCCCUGCAGUGCUUCUUGUCCAGCUUCAAGAUGCAUCACCCCUUCUCCGAAGCCUCCUUCAGGUUGUGAGGGGGCGGGGCGGGGGGCACACGUGGCGCUCUGCCUUCUCUCUCCCUCCCUCCCUCCCUUCCUCCCUCCCUGCCCUGCCCGCCCGGCCAGGGCUGGGGGAAGCCGCCCGAUGGGCUGGGCCCCAGGAGAAGCAAAGCCACCAAAAACACAACAGACAAACAAACAAAAGCUGGUAGGGAAGAAAGUUUCACCUAGUAGCUAAGGUGCGGCGCACCCAUCGGUCCCGGGCCAGGGCGGUUCUUUCAGGACGAGCUGGGCCCGGCCCAUCUUACACACUGCUUUGAACAAAGUCUGCGAGUCUGUUCUGUGAAGGAGCUCUGUUUGGUGCCCUGUAAAAAUAAUACACACACACAAAGAGUUUUCCUUACAUUGAUGGAGACACACACACAUACAACAGUUUUCCUUCCACUGACACACAGUUUUCCCUAUAUUGGUGGACACACGCACACACACACACUUUUCCUUACAUUGAUGGAGACAUACAGACACACAAAAGUUUUCCUUCCAUUGACACAAUUUUCCUUAUAUUAAUGGACACACCCCACAGAAAAUAGUUUUCUUUACAUUAACACACUGUUUUCCUUACGUUGAUGGAGACACACAUACACACAAAGUUUUCCUUACAUGGGUGGAGACACAUGCACACACACAAGGAGUUUUCCUUACAUUGAUGGAGGUGUGCACACAUGCACACACACGCACACACGUUUUCCUUACAUUGACACAGUUUUCCUUACAUUGAUGGACACACACACACACACACGUUUCCCUUACAUUGAUGGAGAGUGAACCCUUUCAAACCUGGAAGCAAAUGAGGUGUUUAUAUUUUUCUAACCUACCUGUGGCCAUUAUAAGACAAACCUUUGCUGGCUUGACCCACUGUUUUCUGUAUGGCGGAUGGAUGCCUUUCUUUGUUUAGUUUUUUCCCUUUCUUUCUUUUUCUUUUGGUGAUGGCAGGGGAGAGCAGGAAAAACCUCUAAUAGCUAAACACCUGACUUUCAACAGUCAGCAGUUCAGAGCACAGGAAAAGCCAAUUCAUUUUCAAGUUCAUUUUGAUUCAAGGAAGGGAAUUUGGUCCCAGGAUUCAAAUAGUUUGGUGAAAUAUGCCAAAGUCAUUUUUGUUUUCUUUUGGGGCAGUACAGUCUACAAAGUAACCCUUUCUGGUGUAUAAAACAUGCUGACAAAAUAAGCCCCUGGUAUGCCUGAAAUUAUUUCUGACUGAACUGUAUAUACGUUUAUUUUUACAACCGUGUCCUCAAAACUGACAAUGUAUUGAGUAUCGUAGAGCUGUAAAGACAGGUUUUCAAGAAUGCUAGACGUACACAAGACAGACAGAUAUGAUGUUGUGGAAAUUUCAGUUCGUGUAUUGAGUACAACAGACAAUGAAAAAAAAAAUACAAGCAUAUAAGCAAAAUGGCUAUUGGAUGAUAUUUUUAGACAAAGAAAAACAAGCAAGAGGAAAGACUAGUAAUAUUUAAUCCCUUGUCAUUAUUAAAAUUAUAGUGUUGCUGGUUAGAUGCACAUAUCAGAUGUGUCUGAAGGUGUCAGGGGGAUGAUGGAUUUAGCACAGAGGAGAACGGUGUAUACUGGGUGACAUUCAGAUUUGCAGUCACAGAAAUUUAGCAACGUUGUUUAAAAGAUGAGAGUUGCAAACCCUGUGUCUCUGUGUGUUUGUGUGUCUGUGUGUCUGUGUAGCACUUUGCUUUUUAAAUCAUUGCUUGCAGGAGUCCUCUCCAAGAAAUGAUGGAGAACAAUAUUCAAGAAAAAAAAACCCAACAAAAACAAAACAGUGCCCCCCCACCCCUUCAGUUUAUUCAGUACCUGAAUAACUACCCGUUAACUGAAGGAAAUUUGGGGGUGUUUUUUACAUCAAUCUUUGGCUAACACUAUUUAUUGUUUUGGAGUCAGCCUCACUGAAAUAUUCUGUUAAUUCUCCCUUGCAAGAGUGAACUGUUUUUGUUAAAAGUUUGAUGACUGGCCCAUAUUUAUUGCAUUUUCAUUAGCUGCUUUUUGUGACUAUGUGGUAACCCAGUAUUACACAAAUGCAACAACCUCCAUGGAUUUUUCAGGUGCUAGAAAUCAGCAAUUAACUUUUGGUUUUACCUAGCCUUUUCGGUCAGCAAUAUAGUCCUCAGUCCUUUCUCCAGAAGAUUUUGAAAGAGUGUAUAUAAUAACCCACUCUGUAAAUGAACAGUUAAUGCUGAUUUUUCACACUGAACCACAGUUUCAAAAGAGGAUAUUACUUUUUUUUGGUGGCACUAAGUUCAGUCUCAUAGAACUUUGCAAUCCCCUUGAGGUGCAAACUUCUUUCCCAUUAGACAUGCAAACUAGGAUGCCAUUGUGAUUUAGCUUUUAUGGUAAAUGGUAGACAUGGAUAGAUUAUCAAUUUGUUCAGAAUGUGAGAUAUCUCUGGAAGAGACUAAUUUAUAUAUUAUCAGAUCUUUGCCUGAGUUUGGGUGCAUCUGUAAGCACAUUUCAUGAACUUCCUCACUCCUGAGAGAGGUGUUCUAUAGCCUUAAGAAUUGUUCAGGCAUGUUAUGAGAACGCUGCCCGUUAAAAUUGUUUAACCACUGUGACUAGUAAAAACCAUGGUUUUAUUAGCCACUUGUGUACUCUCAUAACCACCUGCUUUCACUUCUUUUCUCCAUUCUUUCUCAUUCACUCUCAUAGAUACACAUGCACACACACAUGCGCGCGCACACACACACACACUAGUACUCUGUCAUCACUGGAAGGAAGCAUAUUUCUCUCUCCAGCUGUACGGAUAUCAGCAGACAUUCACUCCUCUGUGGGUCAUAUCCAGUCACAAAGUAUGUCACAGCAUGUGGCUUAUAUUUAUACAGGCAUUUUAUUUGUCAGUAGGAAAAGAAAAGUUCCCAAAUUGGAUAACUUUCUAUUUUGGUCAUUUUUCUUAUUUCUUCUUUUUUCUUUUUUUUUUUUUAAUUAAAUAAUAAAGAAUGACAGCAUGACUGCCUAAAAGCACAUGUGCAGCAACACUGUUCUGGUUGUAAGGCAACCAGCUGGAAGCUUGUCAGAGAGUGACAGGGCCUACAUGACUGAACUGAAGCAGCAGCAGUGGUUGCAGAGAACACCUGUUCCCAGCGCUGAAGCAUUCCGAUGGUUCUUUUAAGCAGUAGUAUAUCUUAUUUUCAAGGCAGUCCGAAGUGAAUGGCAAACUAAAGUCUUGUUUUAAGAAACUGCUUAGUUCACCAUUGAAGAAUAUACUCAGAUACUAUUUUCAUUUAUGUAUAGGGGUUUCCUCAAAAACAAAACAUAAAAAAUCUGGGAGCCUGGGGAAUUGGCCAGUUUAUUCACAUUCAGUACACUGAUUCUUUCUUUGAUGUAACUUAGCUAUACUAGUGAAGUUGUUGUCUAUUUUUAAAGUGGCUGUAAAAAAAAAAAGUUUGGGUAAACCCCUGCUAUAAAGUCAUGUAUCUUUGAAAAGUAACAUAACUAUACUUCAUUUUCAAAUAUAUGUGUUUCAGUACUGUAAACUGUACAGAUAGCAGCUUGUAUUUUGUGUGUUUAGACACAAGGAGACAAUCAUGUCUGAGCAUCUAUGGAGAUUAACGGUUUGUACACAACAGUGUGGUUCUGCGAGUUAAAUCUGGAGCAAUAAAUUCUAGCUUUAAAUAUUAUUUUGCCAGUUGUUUAGUAGCAGCAGCAGCACUGUUUUGCCAUGCAUCCUUCCAUAGAGACUUGAUGCCAAGUUUUACAAGAUUAAAAAAUUAUGAUGCAUCUAGCAAUUACCUUCAGUUGUAUUGUUGUAAGAGGGGAAGACAAAAUUUAAAAUUAAUCUUUUUGAGCACUAUAUUAGAGUAGUGGUUAUGCACUUGCAUUGCUUCCAAAGGAGCUUUACGGAAGGGUGUCCCUCCAAAGUGAUGUACCAUAGUGGACUUGCUUUUGAUCGAGCUGUACGGUGAAGUGCACAGCACAGAUAGACAUACAGAACCCGUUAUAUAUAUAAAACUUGUUCUAGGAUACAUAAUGAAAAAAGUACCAUAUCUUCAAAAAAUUGUGAUGCAAUAUAUACCUUCCCACUAUGAAUUGUUAUGUAGGUUUUUCGAUAGAUGGAAUAAUAACUUUAUAAAAUAUAUAAAAAUAUUUUCGCUCCAUGUGCAACUUAUAGUGGUUAGACAAGUUUACAAAUGUAGGGUCUCUCCUGCAAUUGUGCAGGAUGUGAGAGCCUAGAUAUUUUUUAAAUUAUGAAAAUUAACCCUUUUUUUAAAAGAGUGGCUACUUAUCCCCACACAUCUUUCUUUGUCCACUUAUCCCGGCCUUGCUGAAUCACUGGUCCCUGAGGCCCUCGAUGGAAUGCUGCACCAUUCUUUCUCCUGUUAUGGAGGACACUGAACUUAUGGACACUUCAUAAAGAUUACCUCAUCACUUAUUUAUAGUCUGGCUUUGUCAGACCACUUAUGAUUGAAAAGGCCAUCCCAUCAGAGUAAGAGAAUGCUGUUAUGUCAUGUACCAUAUAUAUUUAUUAUUUUAUAUACACAAUAAGAUUAAAAGUACUAGCAGCUUCACAGACCAGGUACCAACUAUGAAAGUAAUUGAUUAAUGAUGCAGAGAAUGUUCAAACAGUGUAUUGUAUGAGCACAUUCUCCAUUAUCUGCUAACUAUUUCCACUGGCACGUGUUCACACACACUUGCUUGAGGAACACUGGAUGGUAGGGAGAGCAGCAGAGUGUGUCAUCCACUGACUGGGAGAGUUGGAGUCUUGUGGGUGGGGGGGAGUGGUUGCAGUCCGAGGACUGAGGAACAUUGAGAAUGGUCAAGAAACCUAAGACCAGCAGAGAUGGAGGAAGAGCAGUAUCUUAAAUUUGUGUGUGUAGGCAACAAAGAUUGGCAGAGCAUAGGUCUCCUGGGACCAGAGUAGAAGAGCAUCAGAGGAUGAAUGUUAUGAGAUGGAAGAGUUUACAUAUGCAUUUUCAACAGUAGGACUGUCAUACGUAUCCUGGGUAUUGUGUUGUAUGACAUCAUAUAUAUAAUUUCUGGAAAAAAUGUCAUAUUUGAAAUGUUUCUAGUAUAUGCCCCUCUCUUAUAUUUUAUAAAACUCCAUGAAUUAAAUGACCAUAGUGUAAGCUUACAUGUGUUUACUUGGCAGCUUUGUACUGGUUAUUAUUUCAUUUUAGACUUUCUGGUCAGGGCCUCUGUUAUUUACUGCUGGACCAAUAAGAGCUAUGUAAGAUCUUCUUUACCAAAUUGCUAAUUGAUUAAAAAAAACGAUGGAAGCCUUAUUUGCACAUCUGGCUGGUUAACUUGCCUUGCUUUUUUGAAAAUUGUGAUUGCUCUUACAGAAGUACAGAAAAAAAUUCAGUUCAGGCUACAUUAGGUGUACAAAGAUAUUCAUAGCAAUGUACUUACUGUCUAAUACCCUAAUGUUGCAUGUCUUGAUGUGGUUUUUUUUGUUUUGUUUUGUUGUUUUGUUUUUAAAAACUGAUGGAUCUGUAUAUUGUAAUUGUGGUGUUUUACAUGUCAAUUCAAAAUUGUUAAAAAAAAAACCUGUUGAUUAUUAAAAAUGAACAAGGGUUGAUUUUUUUAUUAUUCCCACUUACGUUUUUGAUUUUGGAUAUUGUUCCUGAACAUCAAGAUUUUACAAUUUGGUAAAACAAUAUUUCUAUAAUGUAUGUAUAGAGAUUUUUUUCGUUAUUGAUGUUUGAAGAAGGAAAUCUCUUUUCUGGCCUCUCUCUUUCUCUCUCCUAUACAAGGUAUAUUAAUACUUGUUAAUCAGAUUGUUGUCAAAUUCUAAUGACUGAAAUUGUGCUUUUCAUAAGAUCCUAAAAUACUUCAUAAAAAGAACAUUUUUAUUCCUCUUUUUCUUUUCCACAGCACAAAAAAUGCAGAACACACCUUUAGUCUUCUAAGUGUGCAUAAUAGAUAAUUUCUUUUUGUCUUACCCCAGAAAAAUCUAUUAAAUUAUAAGGCUGGUAGGGAGGCACAUAUACAUACACAGUGUGUGAAUUAAUAGCAGAUACUCCCUAAGAGAAAGAAAAUACUCCCUUUUGUUCAGAACCCCUGGUAUGUAAGUCAUACAAUUAAUGCUAAAGAAUAUUAAGUCUUUAAACUGGCUCUAUCUGUAAUCAAAUAAUGAAGAAAGAAAGCAGUUAAAUGAACAUACCAUUCAGGGUCGAAUACAUUCAGCAUAAAGCAGUAGUGGGUCUUUGAUCAUGGUUAGAUGCAUAGUGAUAUCAAACAGUUGGUUCUCAUGUAACAGCUAAAUGUUUCAGAUUUUGUUUUUAUUAAAUUUGGCAGUUUCACACUGAGAUCUACUGUAUUCCUAGUGAAUAAAAGACAGCGCCUCUGUUAGAAAGUAUUCCAUUUUCACAAUUGCAGGGAACUAGGAGAUUUUUCAGAAACAUGGGCCACAGAAAUGUACUCCUUUCACAGUGUUCUCCUAUUUCUGAACUGUGCAGUUAUCUAUUAAAUUUUCUAAUAGAUAUUUGUGUAAGGUGUAUGUAUGCUUGUGCAAUUAUGAAAAAAGCAGUUUUGGAAAACAGUGUAUUUAUUAAAAAAAAUCACUUAUGGGGCAUGUACAAAACUGUAUAAAACAUUCAAUUUGCCCAGUAAAGUUGUUUUUGUGAUAUUUCUGUGUUGUUGAAUAAAGGACUUUAGUAUUCAAAA